rnacentral:rRNA from 1 species
GGGAAUCUUCCACAAUGGACGAAAGUCUGAUGGAGCAACGCCGCGUGAGUGAUGAAGGGUUUCGGCUCGUAAAACUCUGUUGUUGGAGAAGAACAGGUGAUAGAGUAACUGUUAUCAUCUUGACGGUAUCCAACCAGAAAGCCACGGCUAACUACGUGCCAGCAGCCGCGGUAAUACGUAGGUGGCAAGCGUUGUCCGGAUUUAUUGGGCGUAAAGCGAGCGCAGGCGGUUUUUUAGGUCUGAUGUGAAAGCCUUCGGCUUAACCGGAGAAGGGCAUCGGAAACCGGGAGACUUGAGUGCAGAAGAGGACAGUGGAACUCCAUGUGUAGCGGUGAAAUGCGUAGAUAUAUGGAAGAACACCAGUGGCGAAGGCGGCUGUCUGGUCUGUAACUGACGCUGAGGCUCGAAAGCAUGGGUAGCGAACAGGAUUAGAUACCCUGGUAGUCCAUGCCGUAAACGAUGAGUGCUAAGUGUUGGAGGGUUUCCGCCCUUCAGUGCUGCAGCUAACGCAUUAAGCACUCCGCCUGGGGGAGUACGACCGCAAGGUUGAAAC